GACAGAAGACUAUUUUUACGUAAUUAAUUGCCUGGGAACUAGUUGUUUAAAGGAGAAGGGUGUUCGCUGCAGUUCCUGAUACUGGUUUUUCUACAUGCUUCAGCCAAAGACAUAUACUCUUUGAUCCCUGAGAACACUAUUUCCUCAGUGUCUUUGCACAUGGAGUUCACUUCUCUGCUUGUGAAGUCUAUGAAUAUUGCAUGGCUGAUUUGUCACAAUUUUAAGUCUUCAACAUCUGGAGUGUUCUGGCAAGAAUUUGUAGGAAAAAUUUUUGAAUCAUCAGAUUACCAUAGCACAACCUUGGAGAAUAAAACUCUUUUGCUCUGAAGCUCAUCUAAUAACCUGAUAUCUCUCAAAUGAAUCUAUCCAAUGACAGGGAAUACCCCAUGUUAAACAGCUGAUUCUUGUUCUGAAUACGUUUAUUAUCUUGUAGUUAGUAAAUAAAUCAAUUGGACCCUUAA
rnacentral:lncRNA from 1 species